CCUACGGGGGGCAGCAGUGGGGAAUAUUGGACAAUGGGGGGAACCCUGAUCCAGCCAUGCCGCGUGUGUGAAGAAGGCCCUCGGGUUGUAAAGCACUUUCAGUGAGGAAGAACGCCUGGUGGUUAAUACCCAUCAGGAAAGACAUCACUCACAGAAGAAGCACCGGCUAACUCCGUGCCAGCAGCCGCGGUAAUACGGAGGGUGCGAGCGUUAAUCGGAAUUACUGGGCGUAAAGCGCGCGUAGGUGGCUUGAUAAGCCGGUUGUGAAAGCCCGGGGCUCAACCUGGGAACGGCAUCCGGAACUGUCAAGCUAGAGUGCAGGAGAGGAAGGUAGAAUUCCCGGUGUAGCGGUGAAAUGCGUAGAGAUCGGGAGGAAUACCAGUGGCGAAGGCGGCCUUCUGGACUGACACUGACACUGAGGUGCGAAAGCGUGGGUAGCAAACAGGAUUAGAUACCCUAGUAGUC
rnacentral:rRNA from 1 species